CAAAUGUCAAUGCAGUAAGGCUGCUUUGGGCUACAUGUCUGAAGGUGUCAGUGGACCAGAAGGAGCAGAAAAAUGAGAAAGAUUAACACCAAGAGAGCUCGCCUGGGGGUCAACUAAUGGGACCACUGCCAUCCUCCCUCUUUGCUUUGGAAAAGCAGCGAUUCCUUUUUUUCUUUCCCUUUCCUGAGGACUUGGUUACAAGAACUCCAGCAUUCACAAACCCAGAUGGGGGGACAAGCCGGAGAUCUGGCCAUGUAAAGAAAGAAAAAGAGUUCUUGAUCAAAAGUGUAUCGCCUUCCACUCAUCAGCUCUCCCUGUGCGCCUGCCUGUUCCUGUUGGAUGGGAAGAGCAAGGGAAAUAUAUGCAUAACCCUCCGCUGACAUGCCGUCUCGUUUGAUGUGGGAUUCUCGCCCCGUCUCUCCACCGUUACUGGGGAUAUUAAAGUGCUGCGUGGCUCUGUC